UACGUAGGGUGCAAGCGUUAAUCGGAAUUACUGGGCGUAAAGCGUGCGCAGGCGGUUUUGUAAGUCUGUCGUGAAAUCCCCGGGCUUAACCUGGGAAUUGCGAUGGAGACUGCAAGGCUAGAAUCUGGCAGAGGGGGGUAGAAUUCCACGUGUAGCAGUGAAAUGCGUAGAGAUGUGGAGGAACACCGAUGGCGAAGGCAGCCCCCUGGGUCAAGAUUGACGCUCAUGCACGAAAGCGUGGGGAGCAAACGGG
rnacentral:rRNA from 1 species